rnacentral:lncRNA from 15 species
CACGGUUACAAUAAUACGAACUUCAUUAUUACAUAAUGUUUGAUCAUUAUUUUAAAUAAAUCAUCUUUACUAUGUUCAUAUAUUAUUUUCCAGUGAAUCCCUCACUUUCAACCUGUAGUUAUCAGCUCAUACUACAGUUUAUAUGACAGUACUUCUAUCUGUUCUGUGCUGCUGUGAAGAAUAAAACCUUCACUCUGCUGCCCUCUAGUGUCUGCAACAACACACUGCUUCAAACUGUACUGCUACUGUCACUACUACUACAACUGUUUCUACUAUUAGUGCCUUCUGACAGGGGUGGACUGGCCAUCUGGCAUACCGGGCAUCGUCCCCCAAUGUGGGCCGUUGACCCAAUGUGGUCCGGUCCGGUCCGGUCCGCUAUGUUUUUUCUUUUCUUUCUCUCUCUAAAUUCCCUCCAGUUGGGCCAAUUGGCUACAGAGGGCUAGCAGUGUGUUGCCAGCAUCGACACAUAUUAUUGGUCUAUGUUUGUCAUUGUCAAUCAAUCAGUGCUGUCAAUCACAACACAAACCAGGGUGGGCGGGACCUCAUGGCAUGGGCCGGAGUGGCGGGACGGGCUGCUGCUGAGCUGAAGAUGGAUAACCGUAAGAAACGCCCGGGUGGCGCUGAAACACUGCGACUUAAAAAGCUGAAGUCUCUGGAGGUGGAAGCUGCUAAAUGUUGGACAUUGACAGACCUAUUUGGUGCCGGGGUCACCACCCCAGCAGGUGCUGCUGCGCCGGGAGACGAGCGAGUGGAGGCAGACAUGGUUGAACACUUGACAUGUGAGAGCCUGAGGAGUUGUUCCCCCUCCGUCCAUUUUCAAGGACUUGCUCUCUCUCUGCCUCCACUUCACCACUUUUUGGCUACUGAGACGUCUCUGAUUGGUUGAGUUGACCACCCUAUAUAUGAGAGCCUAAGGAGUUGUUUUCCCUCUGUCCCCUUUUGAGGACCUGCUUUGUCUCCUCCAUCAUUCACUGGGCCACUUUUGGGUUCCUGAGCUUAUUUCAUGUGGUGAGAGGAAUGCAAUAUGUGUAUGUUUAAAGGUUUAUGUGAAGAAACAUACUAUAUGUGUGAUAAAAUG